rnacentral:rRNA from 1 species
AACGAACGCUGGCGGCAGGCCUAACACAUGCAAGUCGAGCGGGGACUUCGGUCCUAGCGGCGGACGGGUGAGUAACGCGUGGGAACAUACCCCUUUCUACGGAAUAGCCUCGGGAAACUGGGAGUAAUACCGUAUAAGCUCUACGGAGGAAAGAUUUAUCGGGAAGGGAUUGGCCCGCGUUGGAUUAGGUAGUUGGUGGGGUAAUGGCCUACCAAGCCGACGAUCCAUAGCUGGUUUGAGAGGAUGAUCAGCCACACUGGGACUGAGACACGGCCCAGACUCCUACGGGAGGCAGCAGUGGGGAAUCUUAGACAAUGGGCGCAAGCCUGAUCUAGCCAUGCCGCGUGAGCGAUGAAGGCCUUAGGGUUGUAAAGCUCUUUCGUGGGGGAAGAUAAUGACUGUACCCCAAGAAGAAGCCCCGGCUAACUCCGUGCCAGCCGCCGCCGUAAUAC